UAUAAAAUACAUUUUAAUUUAUAGAAAUGAUGUGGUGCCAGAAACGGAAGGACAAAAUAAACGAUAUGAAGUCUUAGUUGUCGGUCGUUUUCUCUGUAACAUGGUUUGGUCCAAGGCGUGGCCGUUUAGCGCCUGACAAAGGUGAAGCAAUGGCUCCAUGGGUUGACUGGAAGUGGUGAUGGAUUCUUGUUUGUGUCAUCCGUCUGGCGACAGUUCCCGUUUUCGCUGAAAGCAGCUGGAAUCUGGCCUGAAACUCACUACACAAAAAGCAGCAUGUGAUCCAUGUAAAUAUUACUGGUUGGAACCAUUGUGCUACAUUGUUCCCCAAGCUAGGCUAAACUGAGCAAUGGGGAGGCUGAGCGAGCUGUGAGAACGGUAAAGGGAAUUCUCAAGAAGUCAGACGAUCCAUACCCUGGACUCAUGGAAUAUCGUUCUGCCCCGCUUGCAAAUGGAUACAGUCCGACAGAACUUCUUAUGGGAAGGAGAAAAACAACUACCAUUCUUGUUAUUCCUCCAUCACAGCUCAACCGAAACAUGCUGAUGUGAGAAAGCUGAAAGCAACUAAACGGCAAUACAGAGCAAAACAACCACAGAACUACAACCGCAGACACGGGGCACAUGACCUACAGUAUCACAACUGCAACCUGGAGAUGCGGUGUGGGUGAGGGACAUGUCAGAAAGAGGCACAGGUUUAAAGAGCUGGUACACCAAGGUCUUACGUCAUCGAGACACCCAUGGGGACCCUGCGGAGGAACAGGUUCCACCUUUCAGCAACAGACAGUCAGUCCCUGACACACCUGUAUCCUCACUGCCAGGACCAGCACAGAUGAGUACGUCUCCGGAGGCAGAAAGCGUUUCCAGUUAGCAGUGUUCUCUAAGUGGCAGACGUUAUAAAGAGAGAUGGCGUCUCCAGUGUACCUAAAAGACUAUCUUUGUUCAUAGAUAUAGGAACUGAGUGAAUAAUGGGCAGAAUAAUCCCUACACUCGGGCCUAGGGGCUGGCCAGUCUACCCCAACUCUCAUAGUGUUGAGGAAAUGUUGUGGUUCUGAGAAUGUUAAACCAUCAGGUGGAUAACUAUGGCACGUUACUGAAUAAAUGAAUGUUUGCCUGUACCUAUA